AAACACAGAUGCUGUUAUUAUUAGUAUUACCAUUAUGCAAAUUUCUUUAGAACUAAAGAACAAGGGAAGAGAAAUAUAGAACAUAAAUGACAUGCAAGAAGAAUUGCCUCUAAGAAGGAUGCUUUUGAAGGUUUUCUAUGCAGCUCUUUAAAAUCAAUGGAGUAAUUAAAAGUGGAAAAAAAUAUGGUAGUGCAAGGAAAUAAAAAGACUAGGUCUGGAAAAUAUUAGAUAUCCCUGAAUACGGUUGGAACUAAUAACAAGCCUCAAAAAUGAAAAACAACAAGAGAAAAAAUUGCCUCAACAUAUUUCUUUGGUGCUUAAAAAAAUCUCCACUUGUAGUAUCUGAAGAGGAAGGAAGGAAGAUGCUUAAUUCCUGUGUUUUCCUGUUAUUCUACUGCCCCUGUACUUUUUGCCACUGAGAUGGCCAUGUAGAGCACAAGUGGAACUCAACAAAAAUGUGACUGGCAAGGUGGUGUGGUUCCAGAGUUCAUCUCUAUUGAAAGAAAAAGAAAAAGCAAGAAAUCAAAUCAUUCUUAUCAGAUGAGUCAAAGGGAAGCCUUAUUUCUACCUGGAAUCAUGCCUGCUGCCUCAAAGUUAUUCUCAUCUCAAGUCCUUUCUCUUCCAAGGUAGAGUUUUCUGUGCAGGAGCUGGACAAACAGGAAAGAAAGCACAGCCACAUAUCUCCCUAGAUCUCGGACUCCCACCAACUUCAGAUCAAACUCCUGACGUGAAAGAGACGCACAACAGAACAGAGGGGAUGGGAACCACACUGACUAAAUACAGAUCACACCACGUAUUCAAUUGCAGUCGAUGAGGCAAAGGGGAUGAAAAGCUGAAGCACCACUGGAAACCACACACACUCAGGAUUUCAAAGUUGGGCUUGAUUUUCUCACCAUUUACAAUGGAGAAAAUAGACACCCUUUUGAGUGGCUUCUAGUUCCGCAUUUGGCCUGGGAUGGUUGCUGAAGGAAGAGAAUGAUAAAGAUAAAUUGUAUUCUUUUGUGGUUUAAAAGGCUUUGUGAUCAAUAAAUAACCAUGUGAGGAGAGAACAUAUCAUCAGUCCCAUUUUAGCGAUGAGGAAACUGAGGCUACAAGUGGUAGUCAGUUUCCAUCUCUAUAUUCAACUCUUGCAUGGCACAUUCAUUUUUACAUUUCUUAUGUUACAAGGGAAUAUAGUAAUUAUAAGUAAAAGAAAAUACAUCCAUUGAAUUCAUGAACUAAAUAACCACUCUUACCACUACCAUCCAAAAGAGCCUUGGCAAAUCCUCUUAUUCCUUUAACAAAGCAAACAAAAGCUACAUUUCAGAGCAUAAUUCAGUGGCAUUU